rfam:Thermomonospora curvata DSM 43183, complete genome.
UCCGGUGGUUAUGGCGGAGGGGAAACACCCGGUCCCAUUCCGAACCCGGUAGUUAAGCCCUCCAGCGCCGAUGGUACUGCAUGGGAGACUGUGUGGGAGAGUAGGUCACCGCCGGAA